CUAACACCGAUAUGCUUCGGGGAGCGGUAAGUACGCUUUGAUCCGGAGAUUUCCGAAUGGGGCAACCCAAUCAGCUUAGUCGCUGAUUACUUGACUAGUGAAUACAUAGCUAGCAAGAGGUAGACGCAGUGAACUGAAACAUCUUAGUAGCUGCAGGAAGAGAAAGAAACAUCGAUUCCCUGAGUAGCGGCGAGCGAAAAGGGAAGAGCCCAAACCAACAAGCUUGCUUGUUGGGGUUGUAGGAYUGAACAUUAGAGUUACCAAAGUGCRACGUAGUCGCAACAGUUGGGAAGCUGUGCCAUAGAGGGUGAAAGCCCCGUAGACGAAACGUCACACUCUCUGUUCAGGAUCCUGAGUACGGCGGGACACGUGAAACCCCGUCGGAACCCGCGAGGACCAUCUCGCAAGGCUAAAUACUCCCUAGUGACCGAUAGUGAACCAGUACCGUGAGGGAAAGGUGAAAAGCACCCCGGAAGGGGAGUGAAAUAGUUCCUGAAACCAUGUGCCUACAAGCUGUCGGAGCCCGUUAAUGGGUGACGGCGUGCCUCUUGCAGAAUGAACCGGCGAGUUACGAUUGCAUGCAAGGUUAAGGUGGAAAAACCGGAGCCGUAGCGAAAGCGAGUCUUAAAUGGGCGUAAGAAGUAUGUAGUUGUAGACCCGAAACCAGGUGACCUACCCAUGUCCAGGUUGAAGGUGCGGGAAAGCGCACUGGAGGACCGAAMCCGUGU
rnacentral:rRNA from 2 species